AAGAAUCACCCUAUCAAGGUGUAAUAACCUUUAAUGUAAACUUUUUACAAAUUUUUUUAGAAAAAACCCAAAUUCCUAUCAGAAAAUAAUAUAUUAAAAACAAAAAAUUACACUAAAAAUGUGUCCCUAAGAAAUAUCCUCCCAUUAAUAUGUUGAAAGCAAAAUAAUUAAUAAUUAAUUUAAAAUCAAUUUAAACACUUCAAUUUUUGAAA
rnacentral:lncRNA from 1 species